UCACACGCUGAGUGAGUAUUUUUCGGAGUAUUUGCUGUCAUACAAACGGGAAUGGACGAAGAAACCUUCAUUUUCGCCGAUUCGAAGAGACCGUGAAACUCUCGCUCGACCGUUCGCAGGGGGAGGACGUCGGCCGAUUUCCUAUCAGAGGGUAAAGCCAAGCCGGAAGCAAGGAAACGAGUUCGGUUUUCGUUCAACUGAAAAAAGCAAAAGCUGUCAGCGAUGUCUCUCCGCUUUAUACUAGUGGCAGUUUGCCUCUUCGUCCUCUUUUACUCUGCUGCCAGCGUGCCCUUCCCCGACUGCCCAGAAGGGUGCCCGGCUGACUGUCCGACACGAUGGUUUGCCGACCAAGACCGCUCCUGUCUGAAAUGCGAGUGCGACCCCAACAGCACAGGGUCGCCUUGGGACUAGCUUCCCCCCUGCUUAAAUGCUUUUGGAAAGUGACGUUGCCUGUUCCCUUGAAAAUGCUGUUUUUUUCAAGUUUAAGCCUUUUCUUUCUUUCUUUCUUUUUUCUUUUUUGGCUUUUGGGCGAUCAUCGUUGAUUUUGUAUUUUGAUAGAAAAUGUUUGUGAUUUUGGUGUGUUUUUCUUUUUAAGCUUUUGUUUAAAGCGGUCAUUAUUGAUCGUGUAUAUUGACCUGAAAAUUAUUGUUUUUGUCGAUUUUUCCCCUCUCUUUUUUCACCAUACAAUAUUUAUAUUGUAUGAUGCUGUAUUUUGUAAAAUUACCAUCAUUUUAAGGGUUGGAAUGUGUGAUAUUUACUGGAUACUUAUUGAAAUGUUUGUUUAAAGCACCGUAGUGUUUAUUCUUAAGAGUUCGAGGGAAGAAAGAGCACGAGCUUACAACCUUUGUUUGUUAAAAUGAACUUUUAAAACCAUCCAAGGUAUACGCGCUUAAAUAUAUAUCCCUGUAAUCUUUUUUUGAAAUGCCGGAUGCUAUAUGUCAUUAAAUUUUGAAGCGCUGGUUAAUAAAUUAUAUAAAGCAAAA